AUUCAAUGCAAUGCAGAUCUCUUACCAUAGGCUUGCCAAUCGUCUACAAUCUCCAUCGCUAAUAGUGUGCCAGGACUAAGAUCAAAAAGGUCUUUUUAUUCGGGUUAUAAUGUAGGGACAUUGGUUAAGGUAGGGAAAUAUAGGCUAAGUGACUCAAAUAGAUCAAGAACACCAACCUUAUAGCUUCACUAAUCAAGCAUGGAAUAAAUUUCAUCUUCCACCCAACUAUAUCACCAUAAUCAACACAACUCAAGGGAUUUAAUCAUCACAAAACAGAACUAAACACUCUUUUAUGCUCUCCAUUUAUUUCCAACACACAAAGUCGAUUUUCUAACAAAUUUCUCAAUAUACUACUCGUACUUUACUUACUUUUUUUUCUUUUUUUUUUUUUCUUUUUUUUUUCUUUUUUUUCUUUUACAACUUUUUUUUCUCUUUUCUUUCCACAACUUUUCUAGAGCUCAUAAGAGUAAAUAGUAACACAAAAUCAUCCCUUCUUUUUUCACAACCCACUAUGAAUAUUCACCACACAAAGAUCUCCAUAUACUUCAUCACCCCCUAUCAUCCGGCUAAAGAAUAAAAGCUAAAUAGGCUCAAAGUGGAUAACAAAGGAUAAUUUUUCGUUAAAGACAGUGUUUGGGAUAAUAAAGUGGCUAACAAAAGAUGGCCUAAAAUCAUCUCCUAAUCCUGGGCACAA
rnacentral:lncRNA from 1 species